rnacentral:rRNA from 1 species
AUUGCACAAUGGGCGCAAGCCUGAUGCAGCGACGCCGCGUGGGGGAUGAAGGCCUUCGGGUUGUAAACUCCUUUCGCUAUCGACGAAGCCACUUGUGGUGACGGUAGGUAGAUAAGAAGCACCGGCUAACUACGUGCCAGCAGCCGCGGUAAUACGUAGGGUGCAAGCGUUGUCCGGAAUUACUGGGCGUAAAGAGCUCGUAGGUGGUUUGUCGCGUCGUCUGUGAAAUCCCGGGGCUUAACUUCGGGCGUGCAGGCGAUACGGGCAUAACUUGAGUGCUGUAGGGGAGACUGGAAUUCCUGGUGUAGCGGUGAAAUGCGCAGAUAUCAGGAGGAACACCGAUGGCGAAGGCAGGUCUCUGGGCAGUUACUGAC